CGAACACAUUCUACAAAGUCUAAGGAACCAACAGAGCGUCAGAAAUCAUUGUCAAAGAGAGAAACAUCUGGUGUUGUUUCUUUGUAUACCCAAAUCGAAGAGUCUCCAAUGAAAGAGACGGAGACAAGUACAGACGGAGGCUACAUGAAUGCAGUUCACACUGAGGAUGGCACGUCCAUUGCCUUGAAAGAUUUCAACAUGUUUAUGACCACACACAAUGAAGUAUUUUUCAAACAACAGUUUCAGUCAAUUCCAUCCCCUGGCAACGUAUCAACAGUUUACGCUAACAAUAUUAGUAACAAACUCAAAAAUAGGUACAAAAAUAUCUGC
rnacentral:sRNA from 1 species